AUGUUCCAUGAGCAGAACUGUGGAAGGGUACUUGACAAGGAUAAAUUUGAGAAGGAGUUGGCCAAGAUUAAGAGUGAACAUCAAAGGGAGUUGGCCAAGCUUAAGAUGAAAAAUGACAAGCUUUGCAUUGAGUACACCAAGCUUGUUGAUGAUGUAUCCAAGAUGUUUGAUUGGCAGGAUGGUAGGGUGGACAAGAAGGUGUACCAAAAACAAGUGGAGGAGGAAGAACUUGAGAAGAAGAAGAAGGAGCUAGAGGAGAAAGCUAUGUUGGAGGUGCAGAUGGAAAAGCUUAAACUUGCAAAUGAGCAGAGGUGCGAUGUUGAAGUUGUCAGAGAUGUUCUUAAGAAGGAGAAGGAAAAGCUUGAGCAAGUUGUUGCUGAGCUGUUGAAAGAUGGGUAUGACAGCAAGGAGAAGUUAGAGCAAAUCAAGGCCAUCCUUGAGUCAUGA
rnacentral:rRNA from 1 species